AGUGAACGCUGGCGGUAGGCCUAACACAUGCAAGUCGAACGGCAGCACAGUAAGAGCUUGCUCUUACGGGUGGCGAGUGGCGGACGGGUGAGGAAUACAUCGGAAUCUACUUUUUCGUGGGGGAUAACGUAGGGAAACUUACGCUAAUACCGCAUACGACCUACGGGUGAAAGCAGGGGAUCUUCGGACCUUGCGCGAUUGAAUGAGCCGAUGUCGGAUUAGCUAGUUGGCGGGGUAAAGGCCCACGAAGGCGACGCUCCGUAGCUGGUCUGAGAGGAUGAUCAGCCACACUGGAACUGAGACACGGUCCAGACUCCGACGGGAGGCAGCAGUGGGGACUAUUGGACAAUGGGCGCAAGCCUGAUCCAGCCAUACCGCGUGGGUGAAGAAGGCCUUCGGGUUGUAAAGCCCUUUUGUUGGGAAAGAAAAGCAGCAGGUUAAUACCCCGCUGUUCUGACGGUACCCAAAGAAUAAGCACCGGCUAACUUCGUG
rnacentral:rRNA from 1 species